GAUUUUUUGCUUUCUUCAAUUAUUUAUUAUGUGCAGAAAUUUGUGAUAGAUAUUAUAUGUAGCAUGUAUGCACUUAAUAUAUUGUUAAUUUACUUGUAGCCUCUUAAAGUUUGACUUUUUUGUAGCAGGAGAAUGUGAUAGAUAUCAAAAUCUGCAUAUUAUCAGUUUAUUACAGAAAACAGAAAUGUAUUUCAAGCAUGGUUUUCAAGCCCAGUUUGGUCAUUGAACUGGUGAAGGCAGGAGGUCAAGGGUUUAAACUUUAACUGGGGUCGAAUUGGCGUUCAAC
rnacentral:misc_RNA from 1 species